CACAAUAGAAUUGAUUAAGAUUAUAUAAAAAACACAACAAAAAAAAAAACUAUAGUAACAAACUGUUGUGCGUAAAAUAUGCAUUACAUGCAAAUUGCUAGGAAGAGAAUAAAAUGAAGGUAAACAUAAUCCUGGAUGAAAUGCAUAUCUAGUGAUAAUCCAAAAUAGAUGCCCUCAAGCUCAGCUUCCUACAAUAUCACUGAAAUUAAAUGAGACACUCAAUUCAUGGAUCAAAACUAUAGUAUUUAGCACAAUAGAAUUGAUUAAGAUUAUAUAAAAAACACAACAAAAAAAAAAAAACUAUAGUAACAAACUGUUGUGCCUAAAAUAUGCAUUACAUGCAAAUUGCUAGGAAGAAAUAAAAUGAAGGUAAACAUAAUCCUGGAUGAAAUGCAUAUCUAGUGAUAAUCCAAAAUAGAUGCCCUCAUUUGACCUAACUUGUUAUGUCCAUUUAAUGUACACUUUCU
rnacentral:lncRNA from 1 species